AUAUUGGACAAUGGGGGCAACCCUGAUCCAGCAAUGCCGCGUGAGUGAUGAAGGCCUUCGGGUUGUAAAGCUCUUUCGCCCGCGACGAUGAUGACGGUAGCGUGAGAAGAAGCCCCGGCUAACUUCGUGCCAGCAGCCGCGGUAAUACGAAGGGGGCUAGCGUUGUUCGGAAUUACUGGGCGUAAAGGGGGCGUAGGCGGCCCCGAUCGUCGGAUGUGAAAGGCCUGGGCUUAACCUGGGAACGGCAUUCGAGACGGCGGGGCUUGAGUGUGGGAGAGGAUGGUGGAAUUCCCAGUGUAGAGGUGAAAUUCGUAGAUAUUGGGAAGAACACCGGUGGCGAAGGCGGCCAUCUGGACCACAACUGACGCUGAGGCGCGAAAGCGUGGGGAGCAAACAGG
rnacentral:rRNA from 1 species